UACGGAGGUGGCAAGCGUUGCUCGGAAUCACUGGGCGUAAAGGGCGCGUAGGCGGGGAGGUAAGUCGGGUGUUAAAUCCCUCGGCCCAACCGAGGAACUGCGCCCGAGACUGCUUCUCUUGAGUCCCGGAGAGGAAGAUGGAAUUCCCGGUGUAGCGGUGAAAUGUGUAGAGAUCGGGAGGAACACCGGUGGCGAAGGCGGUCUUCUGGACGGUGACUGACGCUGAGGCGCGAAAGCGUGGGGAGCAAACGGG
rnacentral:rRNA from 1 species